GUCUGACAAAACUCAAAUACACACACACACACACACAUGCAAAAGAACCGAUCGAUAGCUAAUGAAUAUUCAUAAAACAAUAGCGAAUGGGCGAGUAGCGUUGGUUGAGAGACAUCGUACCGCUCUGUCAUUGGUCAAUUCUGAGCUGAAUGCCUUCGCACACUCGCCUUUGCUCUGCCCAUAGAAGUACGUGUAUUGCUACACACAACCUUUAUAUCACAUGUGUCUAUAGGGGAAAUCUUGAUUCAGAUCGCGGCAAUAUCCGAAAUCAACUCUUCAAAAUAAUGAUGCAAAAAUGCCAUUUUACUAAAAAAAUGUCUAUGUAAACCACUAUUUUUUAUACAACAAAAUCAAUUGUGAAUUCCUUGCCAAUAUAACAACAUAAAAAACACAAAAUAUAGUGUUGAUUUUCUGGCUGUAAAAUUGGUUAAACAAAAAAAAGUUACUUGGGCAACUAUAGCUGCCAGUGGCACUAGGGGGCUAUGGGCAACUAUAGCUGCCAAUGGCUCUUAAAGAGUUAAGACAGGGUGUACACUUUGUUCAAAAUAUGCCAUGCUGUGUUCAGUACACCAACUAUGUAGAAACCCAAAUAUACUGAUAUCUCAGUCUGUAACAACACUAUAAACAUAUGAUUUACACAUAGUUCUAUGCACAAAUAUAUAUGGUACAUAUAUAUGCCACUCUGUGUUCGGAAUGCCAACAAUGUGGGUAAGUAUGUGGUUAACUAUGUGAUCUGACGUCCCGCACUGUCAACACAUUGUGACCACAUUGGUAACACACAGUUACAACGGUCAACCCUGUGAACAAACUCUGGCAAACACUAUGGACACGAAAUUCAAUAAUACUACACUGUCGUAUAUAUGUGGAGCGUUGUGGCCCAGUUGAUUAGCCUCCGGACUUAGAAACAGAGGGUCGUGGGUUCAAAUCCCAGCCAUGGUGAGGUGAAUGGGUACCUGGCAGGAAUUUAUUCCUUGAAAUGCCGAGCGUGUAAAAGCUGAUUGAGCUACAGCCAGGGUAAUAAUAUACAAGUCCUUUGGAAGCGCAUAGAGACGUUAUUUAUAAUGUGUUAUGCGCUCUACAAGAACUGACUAUUAUUAUUAUGUGUGCCACUCUGUGUUCGGAUUGCCAACUAUAUGGAUAUUUAUGCGGUUAACUGUGUGAUAUGACGUCCUACACUAUGGCAACACUAUGAUCGCAUAGUUUGGAUACGCUUACAACAGUUAACUAUGCGAACGCACUGUAGCAACACUAUGAACAAAUGGUGUACACAUAGUUCAAUACAUACCACACGUGGUAUAUUUGUGCCCCUCUGUGUUCGAAAUGCCAACUAUGUGGGUGAUUAUGUAGCUAACUAUGUGAUCUGAUGUCCUACACUGUAACAACAUUGCGACCACAUGGUUAACGCACAAUUACAACGGUCAACUAUUUGAACACACUUUCGCAACACUUUGAUACCCAACUAUGUGGGUAAUGGUGUGGUUAAGUAUGUGAUCUGAAGUCCCACACUGUGAAAACACUGUGACCACUUAUGGUUAACACACAAUGUACACAUAGUCAAGUAUGUGAACACACUGCGUAUAUUCCAUAAGGGAAUAUUUUCGUCGUCAGUGACUCGGCCACAAUAUCCAGUGUAAUUGUUAAUAUCAUUACUUCAGCUUGUUUAUUGGAGAAGCGUCAAAGUACUAUUGCACGCCCUGAUAUUUUAUUUAUUUUUUGGUCUUUUUUUUUUAGUCUGCCGAAUUCUGGUUUGGAACCGGAGGAGCAGGCGUUUGCUACAGCAAGGCGAUAGUUCCCAAGAUGAUGCCUUAUGCGAGCCGUAAACAUUUUGGAGAAACAUGCGCUAGAGUGGGUCGUCCUGAUGAUAUGACUAUCGGUUUCAUUGUAGAUUACUUGUUAAACGGGACAUUGACGAAAAUGCACACCUUCAACUCCCACAUUCAAAACAUCACGAGGAUACCCAGAGAGAAACUUCAUAACCAGGUGUGUAUAAAAAGAGGGAAAGGGUGUCAUGAGACGGGUCGCAGGGGGUCGACAAUGUCACUACAUUGCUGAAAAGAACACAGUGUCACACAGUUUGAUUACUACGGAGUCUUUAAAGAUACGGUAUCUCGCCAAGUCGACUUAUAAAAAAAAUAUAUGUCGACAUGGUCAGAUACGUUAUAUGACCAAGUCGACUUAUGAAAAGUUAUAUGUCGACAUCGCGAGAUACGUUAUCUUGCCAAUUUGAAUUUAAAAAAAAUGUAUGUCAACAUGGCGAGACUUUAUCUUGCCAAAUCUACGGAGCCUUUAAAGUGCUAUCGGCUUGACGACUUAGCGAGAUACUUUAUCUUGCGAUAUCGACAUAAUGACCUUAUUAUGUCGACAGGGCGAGAUAUGCUAUCUAGCCAAGUCGACUUAUGAAAAGUUAUAUGUCGACAUGGCGAGAUACUUUAUCUUGCCAAGUCGACUUAUAAAGCAUUAUAUGUCGACAUGGCGAGAUUUGAAGUGUCCGAGGCCCGGCGAGAGCCUAAAUAUCUCGCCAAGUUGACAUAUAACUUUUUAUAAGUCAACUUGUCAAGAUAAAAUAUCUCGCCAUGUUGACAUAUUUUUUAACUUUUUAUAAGUCGACUUGGCGAGAUAACGCAUCUCGCCAUAUCGACAUAAUAAUGUUAUUAUGUCGACAUGGCAAGAUAAAGUAUAUCGCCAAGUCAUGAAGUCGAUUGCACUUUAGAUCACAAUAUGUUAUCCCGUUCCGUCCGAUUUGAAUUACUCUGCGGGAACCGCCCAGUACAAUUUGAUUUCGCGGGAAACAGAAGACCGUGUGAUUGCCACCAGUAGGUGGGGCUUAGCGUGCAUUCCGCCAAUAGAUCGAAAGUGCUCUCCGGAUAACAGAUUCCACUUGGCCAUUCAUGUAAAAAGACUGUCAUCGAUGAAUAUUCAUCUGUUCUUGUUUAAUGACCAAUGGCAUGCAUUUCCCGAUCCCAAUAGAAAUCAAUAUUCAUAAGCAGUCAGUCCGCAGCCCGUCCGAAAGUGCUCUAUUUUAUUCAGCGGUAUGCAUAGCCGUCCGUGGUUAUGCAUAGUAAUGAGCUGUGAAGACGAACUUUCCGAUCGGUGUUUUUUGCUCUUAGAAACGUUUAUUCCUCACAAAAUUGGUCUCAUUUUAUAGAUAAAAAUUUGAAAUUUCUGAUCAGCUAAAUAAAAUGAACAUUUAAUGUAUUUUGAAGACCGAUAUUUAGCUUAGAAAAAAUGAUUUUUUCAAGAAAUAUAUGUGAAUAAACAGAGCUCAUUUUUUGCAUCGAAAUCACACUUGCGUCAAAUUGAUAUUAUAAUCAAUAUAAAGCGUAGACAUUCUUCUUUACGACUGAAAAAGAAUUAUGAAAUUUCAUGAUGUAGCAAAGUCAGGAACCACAAAAAACCACGGCAAUGUCCAUCGCAAAAUGAUUGGAAUUGCCGACGCGUUCUGAUUGGUCAACAGCGGCGCACAGACUUACAACAUUUUAUAUAACUUAAAAAACCCGGAAAUAUAAAUAAUCAUUCAAAGUAUGAAAUAAUGAAUUAUGUUACAUGUAAGUCAAUCAAGAGACUAACUAAGUACUGUCUGUGACAGCCACAAUUUUUUUAUUUGAACAAAAUGGUUUAUAAAUACUACUGAGUACGGUAGUACCAGACUUUUUAGUUUGACUUUAAACUGUUUAUAGUCUCUAGAGUAGACUGUCUGAGCUAAUCAUCAUUUAAUUCUUAACCGCAGCCUGGGGCAAAAAUCAUCAUGGGGCUCAACUUAGACUAAUU